GGGGUCCUUUAAGCUCUAAAGUGGGAAUUUUCUAGGUAGAAGGCUGAACAUUUCAAUUAAUUAAAGCUUAAUAAAAAUGUAUUGAGCCAUUCUUCAAUUUACAUUAUUGUCAAAAAUAUGUUUAUUGCAGUUGCUAAGAGGAAAUUCUGUAAAGAAGCAGAGAUGAGAUAUAUAUAAAAAUUAGUUGGGGUUAAGCAUCCAGCUAAUUAGCAGAGAAUGGGGGUAGUGGAUGAUGAAGCAGUAGUAGAUUGCUAUGGGUUGGGUUUUUCUUCUCUUAGUAGAGGGUAGAAGUUACAGAACAGUGAAUAAUUCUUGAAAUUAGGAGAAUAGAAAACUCAUUCUCUGCAGAAACAAGAAUUGUAAGAAACAAUAUAUAUCAACUAGAAAGAAAUUUUUCUUCUUACAUGAAGAAAAUCAUAAACAUUAGCAAAUAACUUACAGGACAGUCUGAAAAAGGAUGAGAACAGAUGGAGACACUCGUGGUCUUGUAACGUGUUA
rnacentral:lncRNA from 1 species